GUGUUUGUUUUGGCAGCCCAUGUACUAACUUUGGAACGAUACAGAGAAGAUUAGCAUGGCCCCUGUGUAAGGAUGACACGUAAAUUCGUGAAGCGUUCCAUAUUUUC
rnacentral:snRNA from 1 species